GUUUAACUUUAUUAGACGCAAUAACCUAGACACGAUUUGGAUUGAUAAAAUCGCAUCAGAUGUUCACUGAAGAGUCCCGAAUAUAGAGACCCACAGCGAGAGAAGAUGAAGAGCUACCUUCUUCUUUAUUCCCUACACGUCGUCUGUGGUCUAAUGUGGAACUCCCCCAACAACAGAUGGUACAUUUGUCACUGUGUUGACGACCAGUGUAUGACGGAUGGGACUUGUAGACCCGGCUAUCAAUGUGUCAGAGGCUGGUUCGGUCCCGCUUGCCAAUACAAGGACCUGGGUACUGAAGCCAACAUAACCCUUGUACCUGCAGGUCUUGAUACACACUUGUUGACGGAUGGUAACGACACGACUUGUGUUAAUGUUACAUCAGCAGCACUAACAUGGGGUGCAGCACACUACUUCACCUGGCUUAGGAUCACGUCACAUC